UUGCCAAUCUUUGUCGUGCCGUAAGUUGCGUGAGCCAACGGCAGAUAAUGAAAUAAAUUACUACUUAGGUAAAAGGGAGCACAGGUCGAAAAACCGAACAUCAACCGCUACUGAAAAACAAUCACCGGUAGUUGUUUUCUCUGCAUUACCCCAAUUACAUUAUGGGCGGUUAAAAUCGGGAGGAUUACUUCAAUUUUAUUAAUUCGAAUUAAAAUCUUCAGCAGACCACAACGAAUUGCCGAUUCUUUUCGUGGUUUCAAUGAAACUUAUUACGUUCAAGUGGUGACAUUUGAUUUGACCUAUUUUUAGUGUGGGUAAAAAUCGGAAAAGGAUAUUUUUAUAUUUCGGCCAGCGAUAGCACAGCAUUCGUUGACUACCAAUGGAAUUACUCUUUUAAAUUCGCCGCCUGAAAAAGGAUGCGCUACCUAGCACUGAUAAUGAAAUCAUCACAACGGUCAUCGAUGUUUGGUCUACACAACUAUAAAUCUACGAUCGGGUCUCGUUUGCGGUGGGAUUAUCAUUUAUCUGGCAUUCUGCGACCUGUAAAGUGCGUCUCUCUUUUCUUUAUUAUAUUUUCGUUGAAAGUAAGUUCGUAUAAUUGAAUACAAAUAGUCGGUCCUUGUACGUAAAUCAGCUGUACAAAGUUGUGACAGUUACAGAUUGUGAUUUUUUUUUUAAUUUCUGACAAAAGAGUUCUAUUAUCUAUUAAAAUUCGGUGAAGCAACAUUCAAAUGUGUCGAUAAUUCCAUUAACAUGGAAAACGGCGAAAAUUUCGAUUCUAAUAAUUUUAAAAGAAAACUUAAAACAAACAAUUCGAUUUUUGAUCAUUCCGUCGAUUUGCUAAUGAACGCAUUUGAAUUAAUACCGUGUAAAAAGAAGAUUACUUGGGCAUCCACAACAAAUUACAAUUUGGGAGUGGAUCAAAUGGCUACACUAGCUGAGCACGCGGCUGAUUUCAGCGGCAUGCUUGCUGCUGGUGGCAUAGGCUUGCCGCAGCCUAUGGCCGCAAUGGCCGCUACACCAAUGCCAUUAGCGCUUCACCCUCAUCAUCAAACGGUUCGAGUUCCACCGGCAGGAUUAGUGAAAAUCGCUCAACCACAACCGGCCACCGCCGUCACAGUCAAGGGCAGUUCUCCGUUGCAAAACGGAACCAACGGGUCUCAAGAAAAUGCGGCGGUAGUAGCUGCAGCUGUAGCAGCAGUGGCUGCAUCUCAACAACAACAAGCCCAGAUGAAUAACAUGAACGGCGGACUCAAACAAAACGGUAUGGACUCUUCGUCAGCUCAAUCACCAAGCGGUAGAUCCACGCCGAACAGUAGCACCGAAGGUACUUCAGCUAAACUGUUUGUCGGUGGACUCAGCUGGCAGACAUCGGCCGAUAAACUCAAACAAUACUUUGGUAUGUUUGGUGACGUUACAAACGUACUGAUAAUGAAAGACCCCAUAACUCAGCGGAGUCGCGGUUUUGGAUUUAUCACAUUUUCUGACGCCGAGACUGUUGAAAAAGUCUUGGCUGUGCCCAUACACACGUUAGACGGUAAAAAGAUUGACCCGAAGCAUGCGACCCCCAAGAAUCGCCCUAAGGCUGGAAGCAAGACAAAAAAGAUCUUUGUAGGAGGUGUUAGUCAGGAUACCACUGCCGAAGAAGUCAAAGCGUAUUUCAGUCAAUUCGGGAAAGUUGAAGAGACGGUGAUGCUGAUGGACCAGCACACCAAGAGACACAGAGGUUUUGGGUUUGUGACGUUUGAAAAUGAUGAUAUAGUUGAUACCAUAUGUGAGAUCCACUUCCACACUAUUAAGAACAAAAAAGUGGAAUGCAAAAAGGCUCAGCCCAAAGAACUAGUGCAGCCUGCAGCAGCCGCUGCAGCUGGUUUGUUAUUAGGCAAACGUCCCGUACUAGUCGGCGGUCCUUUGGGAGUUCGUGUUGCCGCUGCACCCGUGUCGCAAGCUACACAUCAGUUGGCUGCCGUACAACAAGCCCAGGCGCAAGCUCAGGCUCAGGCUCAAGCUGCAGCGGCCGCAGUGGCUGCUCACAAUUACAAUAAAUUGUUCGCAACGUACCCAGGACUAGCUAGCUACCGUUAUUCUCCAUAUCCAGUGCCGGUCACCGCAGCGGCGGCUCCUCAAGCGGCCGCAGCCGCUGCUCAACCCGUGCAAGCCGCAGCAGCAGCUGCAGCCACGCAAGCGGCCUAUCCAGCGUACAGUCUAUCUGGCAUCGACAUGAGUGGCUUCCAAGGUAUCGACUGGUCAUCCAUGUACGGUAUGGGUGGCAUGUACGUUUAGGCUUGUCCCGUUCAUCAUCCUAGCGUUGGUGGCCUGGUCAAUAUUUAUAGGCGAUCAAACGAAAAUCAUUCUCUUUGCUCAGACACAUUCUAUCGUUGAAAUUAUUUUUUUUAAUUCGAAAAAAAAAUAUCUACUUAAACAUCCGAAAAAAAAAUCAUUUCAAUUUUAUUAUCAUAUAAAAUACUAUAAUUAUUACACUUAAUAUUGUUUAUUUUUUCACAAAUCGACAAGGCUGACAGCCACAGAUCCCUUGAAGAUCAUUCGCGCAUGUGCCAUACCACUGCCUCAUUGUCGUGAGUUAUAUUUUCAUUGGAUUUUUAAAAAAAACGAACGAUUUCUAGUCAGUUGUAUUAUUAUAAUUAUUUAUAAUAAUAUAAUUAAUUAACGUGUUUUAUUAUUUUUUAAUUACUAUUAACUAUUAAUUUUAAAUAUUUUCGAUUUUCUGAAUAGUAGUGUAAUUAGUGUCUAAUUAACGUGUUAUUGUAUUAGUUUUGAUGUACUGUUAAAAAUAAUAAACAAAUUCCAAUACGAUCAGUAGAUAAGAUACAUUCCAUUAAGGACCAAAAUCUCACCAACGUUCUUCAUGACAAUUAAUUUUUUUAUUUCUUCUUAUAACAUCUAGCCGAUUGUUUUUUCAUAAUUCAUUCAAUAUUUCUUCUCCGAAUUUCUGUAUAAGAUAUACAUAAUAUUGUAAUAUCGUCUACUUUUCUUCUUAUCCAAAAUAACUUUUAAUCAAAUUCUUGUAAUAUCUCAUUUUCUUUAGUAGUAGCGCGCCACGUAGGGCGGGAGUACUGUUAAAAAUAAAUACUUAAUUGCAAAUUUCAUUCAACGUGUGUAUAUCUUUUGAUUUUUAUUAUUUGUUUAUAGUCGAAUUUCAAACUGUAGACGAAAGAGUCGUUCAAUAUUUACCUUAGCUGUCCGUCUUAGAUCGUUUCAUUUUUUAUUUUAUUUUAUUUUCAUCAAUGCCAAUGUUGCAAAAAUAAUUUUAAAUAAUUAUCUCACACAGUUCCGUAAAUAAUCGGAUGUAUAAUUCUAGUUAGACACUAAAAAAGUGCUCCAAAUAAAUUCAAACAAAAAAGUAUUUUAAAGUUAUUAAAAUAUAAAUCACAUUUUACUUUUGCAUUAUAUAGUUCUUAGUUUUUAGAAUUUAUGUAAAACAAGUAAAAGUUACGAAAAAAGCACUGAAUCGACUGGACAAUACUAAUUAGAAACAUUAUUAUAUUAUGUAUGUAAAGCAAUAAUACUUAAAUGGUUAUUGAUCUCUUUGUUUACUAUUAUUAUUAUUAUUAUUAUUAUAUAUUUUUUUUUAACAUUAACUUUCUUAGUCUAGUUAUGAUAGUUGGUAAGCCCUCUAUUUUUGUAAUAUUUGAGAGUUAAUAAAACAACAAAAGCAAUUAUAUGUAAUGUAUUAACUUACACUUGUAAACACAUAAUUACUAUACAAAAGAGGGUUAGUGAUGCUUUUACUUAAUCUGACAACUUCAUGUUGUACAUCGUAGAUUUAUACUUAAACUUUUUGGUUUUUUUUUUUUUUUUUUAGUAUUUAAAAAUACAACUACCCGUACUAAGUGUAUAUUUUUAAUGUCAAUGUCAUAUAUUAGACUUGGUGUGUAUUUUAACAGUAUUUUUAGUUUUAGAUGUAUCUUUUUUGUAGAGUAAUAUUAACUACUAUUUAUCAUGAAAAAUAAUAGCUUUAAGAAGUAUUUAAUUGUACACUUAUAAAUUUUUUUUUAUUAUUAUUUAUUGGUUUAUUUAGUUACUGUGUAGAUGUUCUCUACUAUUUGUGAAUGUAGUAAUACGUAUAUACUAUAAUAAGAAAAGUCAAUAAUUAACAAAGUAGUGUUAGAUACCUACGUCAUAAAUCCUUCAUUUCAAUUUAUUAUUUACAAAUAUUAAUUUUUUUUUUAUAAUUAUUUAGUUCUUUACGCACUUUAGUAGAUAAAUGUUAAAAUUAAAAACGCUGUGUUGUUUAAUAUUAUAAGAGAAAAACAAAAAUAAAAGUAGUUAUUUGUCUGUAGUAUACCAGUCAGUCAGCUUUUAAGUAUAUACUUUGUCCUAAAAUAUACAACAAUGUCAAAUUACCUAAUACCUAAUAAUUUGUAAAUUUUCAUCAUUGUUGCCUCUUUUACACUUCAAAUUAACCGUGAUAUGUAUUUCAUUCUUAUUUAACCAUAUAUGUGGCACAUGACUGAUUUUUGCAUGUUUUUUAUGCCAUGGAUUACAUUAAAUUGUAUUUAGAGACUUAUUGAUCAGCUUCUGCUGGUGUUUUAUGACUGAUCUUAUUACUGAGUAUGUUAUUUAGCUCAUAGCAGUAAUAGAACUAUUUAGUCUCUUUAUUGAAAUAAUCAUUAUCCGGUGUACUAUCAUUAUACGUAUACUAAACGGCAAUAUUACAGUAGAAUAUUUAAAUAGUAUUUUACAAUAACCAUCAGUUUAUUUAUAUUUAAUUAACCCUUAACCGUUUUUAAUAUUGCUAUUAUUUGAAGUAGUUUUAUUAUUUAUUUAUUAGUACUAACCAAAUUCACAGUCAGCCUAGCUUAGAUGUCAUUAACAGAUAACACUAAAAUAGUUGAAACCUAGUUAAUCUAUAGUGCAUCAAUAACAUACAAUAUCUUUAUUCAAGUUUAAAAUGAAUUAAAUGAAAACAAUCUUUUUUACUCCACUUAAAGACAACGUUUAAUUUAGUUUUUAUUUAUUAAAUUGCCUUAUUAGACAACAUGAUAUUUGCUAAUAAAUAUUACAAAUAAAUUGAUACAGAUUCUAAAUAUCAUAAAUAAAUUAUUAUAGAUGAUUUACUCACUCUGGCAAUGACAAUGCUGUUAAUGGUAACUGUAGUAGUAAACUAAUAUGGGUAAUAUUAUAAGGCUAAAAUUUUGUGAAUAAUACAACAGUAGUAUUACUGCUCAAUUCUAUGAUGGACUUCUUUGUCUGGUGGUGUAUAUAUGGUUUAUUUCGUCUGCAAUCAAUGUUGUCUAUACCUGUAGAAAAAAUAGUUUAUUAUUAACAAUUUUAAUAAAAAAAACGCUUCAGAUCUGUUAUUUUCGUUAAAAAAUUAAUUUAUUGAUGUUGUGAUAUCAUUGGUGGAACUCAGUGAAAAUUACAUGGGAUAUUAACCGGAUUUACCCUAUAGGUGACCUAUUCUUAGAAGUACAACUAAACGAGUGACAUGAGCCUCUUAGAGUAUGAAUUGAUCGUGUAGUUAAAAGCAAAAUGAAUUGGGAUUUUAGCACGAAGCUCAAUAAUUGAUCAUAUACAUAAUAAAAAAAGUUGUGUAGUUACUGCUCAUAUUGCAUGUAAAUGUUAAAGUAGUAGAAUUAAGUAGAAUUUUUUUAAUUAACGCUAAAAUGUCCAUUGUAUUUAUUUAAUAUGUAUUUAGUCUAACACGGAUCUUAGUUUUUUAUUAAAUAUUGACAGUAUUGUUAUUUGACGUUUAUUGACAUGAUAAAUCAAUUAUAUAUGCUCUUCCUCUAUUUAUAAAUCGUGUUUUAGAAAAUAUAUUUGAGUAAUAGUUUUAUUAAAAAAAAAAAAAAUUAUUUCUAAAAAUGUUUAAAUGUUCUAUUUGUUAUAAAUCAAUUAUUGCUCAAACAAAUUAGUGUAAUACUUUUUUAGUCGUAUUUUAUCUUAGAGAAAAAAAUCACUACUUUAGUGUAAAAAAAUCUUAUACGAUUAGAUCAAUUACUACCAUUAUUUAAUCUUAAAAAAAAAACUUAUAUAUUGGACUUGAGUAAUAUUAAUCUAUUAGAGAUUUUGUACUGUCAUUAAUAAUAUGGUAAUAAUAUUAUAGUGAUAAAUAGGAAUAAUUAGGAGAUUUUUUAUUUAAUUUAGUGAGUUAAAUAUUUUGUAUUUAAAUAUCGUACACGGGAAUAAUACGAAUUGUAAAAUAUUGACGUAUAUAUAGAUGUAUACAUAAAUUUGUUUUAUUAAUUUAUUAUCAUUAUUAUUAUUAUUAUUGUCUUAAAUAUUGUAAAAUUUGUGAUAUUGUAAUCUUGUACUAGUCGUUUUUUUAAUCUAGUCUUAUUUAAAAUCAGUAUACAAACAUAUUAUGUAUUAUAUUUUAUUAAUUAUUUUAAAAUUUUAGUAUUCUAAAAUCGAAAUAUGUAAAUUCAUAUACAUGGUUUUAUGUAUAUGUAUUAUACAUAUUUUAUGACAAAUUAAGUAAUAUAAUAUUUGUUGUUUUUUAAUAAGUCUUCCUUUGUAAUUAAUCAAUAUCAAAUCCAUAUGAAAAAUUUUAGAGAGAGAGUAUACGAGUAGAACCUUAACUAUGACUGUUUUAUAUUUAUAUUUCUUAUUAUGAUUGUAUUUGUAAUCAAUAUGUUAUUUUUAUAUACAUACGUGUAAUGAUAUAUUAUUAUUAUUACUAUUAUUUAUUGUAAGAAGUUCUGUACAUUUUGUAAAACAUUUUCUUAUGGGUCUAGAGACUUUUUUUAUAGCUACACAAUUAUAUAGACCAAGUAUUUACAGCAGGUUUCUAUAGAGCUUAGGUGUAGUAGAAAAGAUAGAAUUUGUAUAUUUUAAUACAAAUAUUAUUAUAAAUUAUUACUAUUUGUUUUGUUCUAUUAGUUUGAUGAAAGUUACUUUGAAUUUGCUCCAUAAACAUUUUUAACAUAACAUUAA